UUGAAAGAUAGAGCAUUUAGAGAAGUACAAAGAGAAAGGUAGAGGAAACAAAUAGAGAGUUUGAGAACAGAGCCGAGUUGCAGGGAGGGCUGAAGGUUUGAGGCUCCAUUAAUUAAUAUUUUUAUUUUACAGGUUUCAGGUACUGAGGAUGAACUUGGAUUGCUAGUAGCGGGCUUAGGUGGAAGAUUUGGUGUUGAGGAUUUAUUAUUUAUUUUAGAGAUGUUGUAUUAUUUAUUUGAGGAAACUAAUUUUGUAUCAAUAAAAUGAUUUUUUUUUUUUUUGGAGAUCUUGGGUGUAAUACUGAUGUAUUUAGAUUUGAAUAAAUCGAGAAAUUUAUUUAUUAAAAUUUUCGGGGCGUGACAGAAUACCCCGUGGACAUUUUUGGAA